GAUAAACAAGGGAUUAUGGUUCUCACUACUCUUAACUUAAGUCUUAAUUAACAAGUUAACACAUAACGCAAUUGUAUUCUCUAGCAACUAGAAAUUGCAUCCCUUAAAAAGUGAACGUUUUGAUAUUCAAAAAGAGAAAUAACAAAAAUGUUACGAACUAUUGCCUAUAUUGCUUACAUCAAGUUUAUUCGAAACAUUGUACAUUCCGUUUGGUGUUUUUGCUAUGAAAAAUAUUUAACUAAUUUAUUAUUUUAAGCUAUUGGUUUAUUUCAAUGAAGUGGCACGCGCUUCAAGGAAAGCGAAUCUAGUAUGAGCCCAGCCAAUGUGUUAGUAAUCAGAUUCAUUUUGGCGGAGAACGUAAGAUGUACAAUAAGAGGGUUGUUAGAUUGAAGCAGGAACCAUGUUACCAUUGGAAAGAAACUUGAGUUUCUAUUCUUGGAAAUAAACAAUGAACAUUUGAAAUUUAAUAUGCCGAGAGAACCUGUGGCUGUAGCAGAAAAAAUAUUAUGUUAGUAAAUAAAUAUUUGAAAAGUGUGUAACAUUUGUAUUAAAUAAUUUGUAUUAUUUAUUUUUAUCCAAUAUAUUUUCAUUCAAAUAAUUUAAUUGAUCGUAGAUUUAGGUAACUAAGAUUAAUUUAAUGUAUAAAAAGUAUGAUCCUUCCAUAUAGUAACUUCAUUAUUUAUUCAUCAAACAUAUAUAAAACUAAAAUUUAAAUAAAAUACAAUACAUUUUUGUUUUUCAUAAAUUUGAAUUUCUUAAUUAUUGGAGUUUUUGUAGAUUAUUUGUUUUACACUUUUUUACAUUUAUGUUUUACAUGGUACAUUUAAAUUUUAUUAGUAAUAACUUUGAAAUUACUAACUAUUUUUUCUCUUAAAUUUUUUUAUAAUUUUUUGUUUUAACCAUAAAGCGGUUUUAAUAUAUCUUUUAGUUUUUUUUACUGUUUAAAGGCUAUUUGGUGUAAGCCUAACAAAGGUCACUUUUGCAUAAAGCGAUAUAAGCUAUAAACUUUAUUUCCGUGGCAUCGAUUAGUAGUUACAAUUUAUCAAUACUAUUAUUUACUAUUCAUUGUCAAUGUUUAAACUUUAAGAUUCAAUAAAACUUAUUUUACUUUCUAAA